GGACGGGUGAGUAACGCGUGGGUAACCUACCCCAAAGUCCGGGAUAACAGCGGGAAACCGCUGCUAAUACCGGAUGCCUUUACCUUGGGGCAUCUUGAGGUAAAGAAAGGCAACGCUUUGGGAUGGGCCCGCGUCCCAUUAGCUAGUUGGUGAGGUAACGGCUCACCAAGGCGACGAUGGGUAGCCGGCCUGAGAGGGUGGACGGCCACACUGGGACUGAGACACGGCCCAGACUCCUACGGGAGGCAGCAGUAGGGAAUAUUGCGCAAUGGACGGAAGUCUGACGCAGCGACGCCGCGUGAGCGAUGAAGGUCUUCGGAUCGUAAAGCUCUGUCCUUGGGGAAGAAGGCGAAAGCUUGACGGUACCCAAGAAGAAAGCCCCGGCUAACUACGUGCCAGCAGCCGCGGUAAUACGUAGGGGGCGAGCGUUGUCCGGAAUUACUGGGCGUAAAG
rnacentral:rRNA from 1 species